rnacentral:rRNA from 1 species
GAUGAACGCUGACAGAAUGCUUAACACAUGCAAGUCCACUUGAACUUCGGUUUGGGUGGCGGACGGGUGAGUAACGCGUAAAGAACUUGCCUCACAGAUAGGGACAACAUUUGGAAACGAAUGCUAAUACCUGAUAUUAUGAUUAUAUGGCAUCGUAUAAUUAUGAAAGCUAUAUGCGCUGUGAGAGAGCUUUGCGUCCCAUUAGCUAGUUGGAGAGGUAACGGCUCACCAAGGCGAUGAUGGGUAGCCGGCCUGAGAGGGUGAUCGGCCACAAGGGACUGAGACACGGCCCUUACUCCUACGGGAGGCAGCAGUGGGGAAUAUUGGACAAUGGACCAAGAGUCUGAUCCAGCAAUUCUGUGUGCACGAUGAAGUUUUUCGGAAUGUAAAGUGCUUUCAGUUGGGAAGAAAAAAAUGACGGUACCAACAGAAGAAGUGACGGCUAAAUACGUG